CCUACGGGAGGCUGCAGUCGAGGAUCUUUUGCAAUGGGCGAAAGCCUGACAGAGCGACGCUGCGUGGAGGAUGAAGGCCUUCGGGUUGUAAACUCCUGUCAUUCGGGAACAACACCGGCGCGCUAAUACCGCGCCGGUUUGAUGGUACCGGAAGAGGAAGCCACGGCUAACUCUGUGCCAGCAGCCGCGGUAAUACAGAGGUGGCUAGCGUUGUUCGGAUUUACUGGGCGUAAAGGGUGCGUAGGCGGCUUCGUAAGUCGAAUGUGAAAGCCCGUCGCUCAACGACGGAAGUGCAUUGGAAACUGCGAGGCUUGAGUGCAGGAGGGGAGAGCGAAAUUCCUGGUGUAGCGGUGAAAUGCGUUGAGAUCAGGAAGAACGCCGGUGGCGAAGGCGGCUCUCGGGAAUGUAACUGACGCUGAGGCACGAAAGCCAGGGGAGCAAACAGGAUUAGAUACCCUUGUAGU
rnacentral:rRNA from 1 species